rnacentral:lncRNA from 1 species
GGAGAGGUGAUAAUCGUAGUGGUAAAAUUAUGCAUAAGCUAACUGAUGAUAGCUAAGGGCUCUCUACCAGAAUAGAGCAGUGUAGUACUGAUAGAUUUCAUUUUCUUGAUGUUAAUUGUUAAUGUGUCUAUAGAAAAGGGCAAAUAUGUUACAAAUAUAUAAAAAACCAACAUAUAUCCCAGUUAUCAUCCAGGCCUGGUCGCAUGACCCACCUGCAUAUAAAUCCGCAUCAUUUAGGGCCCUUUUCUUUAGGGUUUUUACCCAUAUACCCAUAUUACUAAAUAGGUCAAUAAAGAGUAUGAGCGGCAGCAGAUUUUUAACCUAGGAUUCAAGUAUGAUUAAUCAUUUAGGUCCAUGAACCGGACUUGAGUAAGGUUCAAGACAAUAUGCACAGGAGACAAGUGAGAGACUCUUCAACUACUAUGCCAGAUAGGCCCCUUUAUUGUGCGAUCCCAUAUGGUAACAUUAUAGAACAUACCCUUUGUAAGGCCUUAAAACAUAUACCAUAUAAAAUUCUCAACAAAAGAGGUCCUAUAGUUUUUCAAAUGCUACAUAAUGACAAGGACCUCGUACCUAAUGAUAGAAAAGCAGGUAUUUAUAAUAUUCCUAUGUAUAAUAGAAAUGAUAAUUGUAUGCAG